AACGCGGAUACCGAAAAGCGAAUAGAGUAGGUA
rnacentral:ncRNA from 1 species